rnacentral:rRNA from 1 species
UUUAUGGAGAGUUUGAUCCUGGCUCAGGAUGAACGCUGGCGGCGUGCCUAAUACAUGCAAGUCGAGCGAACGGAUGAGAAG